GGGGAUAACAUUUGGUAAACAGAUGCUAAUACCGAAUAAAACUUAGUAUCGCAUGAUACAAAGUUGAAAGGCGCUACGGCGUCACCUAGAGAUGGGUCCGCGGUGCAUUAGUUAGUUGGUGGGGUAAAGGCCUACCAAGACAAUGAUGCAUAGCCGAGUUGAGAGACUGAUCGGCCACAUUGGGACUGAGACACGGCCCAAACUCCUACGGGAGGCUGCAGUAGGGAAUCUUCCACAAUGGGCGAAAGCCUGAUGGAGCAACGCCGCGUGUGUGAUGAAGGCUUUAGGGUCGUAAAGCACUGUUGUAUGGGAAGAAAUGCUAGAAUAGGGAAUGAUUCUAGUUCGACGGUACCAUACCAGAAAGGGACGGCUAAAUACGUGCCAGCAGCCGCGGUAAUACGUAUGUCCCGAGCGUUAUCCGGAUUUAUUGGGCGUAAAGCGAGCGCAGACGGUUGAUUAAGUCUGAUGUGAAAGCCCGGAGCUCAACUCCGGAAUGGCAUUGGAAACUGGUUAACUUGAGUGUUGUAGAGGUAAGUGGAACUCCAUGUGUAGCGGUGGAAUGCGUAGAUAUAUGGAAGAACACCAGUGGCGAAGGCGGCUUACUGGACAACAACUGACGUUGAGGCUCGAAAGUGUGGGUAGCAAACAGGAUUAGAUACCCUGGUAGUCCACACCGUAAACGAUGAAUACUAGGUGUUAGGAGGUUUCCGCCUCUUAGUGCCGAAGCUAACGCAUUAAGUAUUCCGCCUGGGGAGUACGACCGCAAGGUUGAAACUCAAAGGAAUUGACGGGGACCCGCACAAGCGGUGGAGCAUGUGGUUUAAUUCGAAGCAACGCGAAGAACCUUACCAGGUCUUGACAUCCUUUGAAGCUUUUAGAGAUAGAAGUGUUCUCUUCGGAGACAAAGUGACAGGUGGUGCAUGGUCGUCGUCAGCUCGUGUCGUGAGAUGUUGGGUUAAGUCCCGCAACGAGCGCAACCCUUAUUGUUAGUUGCCAGCAUUCAGUUGGGCACUCUAACGAGACUGCCGGUGACAAACCGGAGGAAGGCGGGGACGACGUCAGAUCAUCAUGCCCCUUAUGACCUGGGCUACACACGUGCUACAAUGGCGUAUACAACGAGUUGCCAACCCGCGAGGGUGAGCUAAUCUCUUAAAGUACGUCUCAGUUCGGACUGCAGUCUGCAACUCGACUGCACGAAGUCGGAAUCGCUAGUAAUCGCGGAUCAG
rnacentral:rRNA from 1 species